CCUACGGGAGGCUGCAGUGAGGAAUAUUGGUCAAUGGACGAGAGUCUGAACCAGCCAAGUAGCGUGAAGGAUGACUGCCCUAUAGGUUGUAAACUUCUUUUAUAUGGGAAUAAAAUGUUCCACGUGUGGGAUUUUGUAUGUACCAUAUGACUAAGGAUCGGCUAACUCCGUGCCAGCAGCCGCGGUAAUACGGAGGAUCCGAGCGUUAUCCGGAUUUAUUGGGUUUAAAGGGAGCGUAGGUGGAUUGUUAAGUCAGUUGUGAAAGUUUGCGGCUCAACCGUAAAAUUGCAGUUGAAACUGGCAGUCUUGAGUACAGUAGAGGUGGGCGGAAUUCGUGGUGUAGCGGUGAAAUGCUUAGAUAUCACGAAGAACUCCGAUUGCGAAGGCAGUUCACUGGACUGCAACUGACACUGAGGCUCGAAAGUGUGGGUAUCAAACAGGAUUAGAUACCCCAGUAGUC
rnacentral:rRNA from 1 species